AUAUUUUCGAUAGUACUAAGCAUUUGGUACUAUCGAGUUUUUCGCUAUUAGAUCUAUUCCUUUGAUCAUUUUCAUCGGUUCGAUCAUACUAUUUAACCAACCACCCACUCAACUCUAGGGAACCACUAUCUUCUUAACCGUACAUCUCUUCAUCCAAGAGCCGAAAAACUAAUAGCACCAAGCGCUUUGUACCAUUGAUAGUAUAGUACGUAGUCUAAUUCUAGCUACCAAAUAGUUUCAAGUCUAGACAUAACCAGGAGUAUU
rnacentral:lncRNA from 1 species